rnacentral:rRNA from 1 species
GACGAACGCUGGCGGCGUGCUUAACACAUGCAAGUCGAACGGGGUGUUUAUUUCGGUAAACACCAAGUGGCGAACGGGUGAGUAACGCGUAAGCAAUCUACCUUCAAGAUGGGGCCAACACUUCGAAAGGGGUGCUAAUACCGAAUGAAUGUAAGAGUAUCGCAUGAGACACUUACUAAAGGAGGCCUCUGAAAAUGCUUCCGCUUGAAGAAGAGCUUGCGUCUGAUUAGCUAGUUGGUGAGGGUAAAGGCCCACCAAGGCGACGAUCAGUAGCCGGUCUGAGAGGAUGAACGGCCACAUUGGGACUGAGACCCGGCCCAGACUCCUACGGGAGGCAGCAGUGGGGAAUGUUCCACAAUGGGCGAAAGCCUGACGGAGCAACGCCGCGUGAACGAUGAAGGUCUUAGGAUCGUAAAGUUCUGUUGUUAGGGACGAAGGGUAAGAAUCAUAAUACGUUUUUUAUUUGACGGUACCUAACGAGGAAGCCACGGCUAACUACGUGCCAGCAGCCGCGGUAAGAC